rnacentral:rRNA from 1 species
UACAGAGGGUGCAAGCGUUAAUCGGAAUUACUGGGCGUAAAGGGCGCGUAGGUGGUUUAUUAAGUCAGAUGUGAAAUCCCCGGGCUUAACCUGGGAAUUGCAUAUGAAACUGAUUGGCUAGAGUAUGAGAGAGGGAAGUGGAAUUUCCGGUGUAGCGGUGAAAUGCGUAGAUAUCGGAAGGAACAUCAGUGGCGAAGGCGACUUCCUGGCUCAUUACCGACACUGAGGCGCGAAAGCGUGGGGAGCGAACAGG